AUUGAACGCUGGCGGCAGGCUUAACACAUGCAAGUCGAGCGGGGUGAUGGUGCUUGCACUAUCACUUAGCGGCGGACGGGUGAGUAAUGCUUAGGAAUCUGCCUAUUCGUGGGGGGCAACAUCUCGAAAGGGAUGCUAAUACCGCAUACGUCCUACGGGAGAAAGCAGGGGAUCACUUGUGACCUUGCGCUAAUAGCUGAGCCUAAGUCGGAUUAGCUAGUUGGUGGGGUAAAGGCCUACCAAGGCGACGAUCUGUAGCGGGUCUGAGAGGAUGAUCCGCCACACUGGGACUGAGACACGGCCCAGACUCCUACGGGAGGCAGCAGUGGGGAAUAUUGGACAAUGGGGGGAACCCUGAUCCAGCCAUGCCGCGUGUGUGAAGAAGGCCUUAUGGUUGUAAAGCACUUUAAGCGAGGAGGAGGCUCUUUUGGUUAAUACCCAAGAUGAGUGGACGUUACUCGCAGAAUAAGCACCGGCUAACUCUGUGCCAGCCGCCGCGGUAA
rnacentral:rRNA from 1 species